rnacentral:rRNA from 1 species
CCUACGGGAGGCAGCAGUGAGGAAUAUUGGUCAAUGGAGGGAACCCUGAUCCAGCGACGCCGCGUGAGUGAAGAAGGAUUUCGGGAUGUAAAGCUCUGUCAGCAGGGAAGAAAGCAAUGACGGUACCUGACCAAGAAGCCUCGGUUAACUACGGGCCAGCAGCCGCGGUAAUACGUAGGGGGCAAGCGUUAUCCGGAAUUACUGGGUGUAAAGGGAGAGUAGACGGCGGGGCAAGCCUGGAGUGAAAGGCGGGGGCCCAACCCCCGGACUGCUCUGGAAACUGUGUGGCUGGAGUGCAGGAGAGGUAAGCGGAAUUCCUCGUGUAGCGGUGAAAUGCGUAGAUAUUAGGCGGAACACCAGUGGCGAAGGCGGCUUACUGGACUGUAACUGACGUUGAGGCUCGAAAGCGUGGGGAGCAAACAGGAUUAGAUACCCGUGUAGUC